GAUGAACGCUGGCGGCGUGCCUAAUACAUGCAAGUCGAGCGAACGGACGAGAAGCUUGCUUUUCUGAUGUUAGCGGCGGACGGGUGAGUAACACGUGGAUAACCUACCUAUAAGACUGGGAUAACUUCGGGAAACCGGAGCUAAUAUCGGAUAAUAUUUUGAACCGCAUGGUUCAAAAGUGAAAGACGGUCUUGCUGUCACUUAUAGAUGGAUCCGCGCUGCAUUAGCUAGUUGGUAAGGUAACGGCUUACCAAGGCAACGAUGCAUAGCCGACCUGAGAGGGUGAUCGGCCACACUGGAGCUGAGACACGGUCCAGACUCCUACGGGAGGCAGCAGUAGGGAAUCUUCCGCAAUGGGCGAAAGCCUGACGGAGCAACGCCGCGUGAGUGAUGAAGGUCUUCGGAUCGUAAAACUCUGUUAUUAGGGAAGAACAUAUGUGUAAGUAACUGUGCACAUCUUGACGGUACCUAAUCAGAAAGCCACGGCUAACUACGUG
rnacentral:rRNA from 1 species